rnacentral:rRNA from 1 species
AACUCUUAGCGGUGGAUCACUCGGCUCGUGCGUCGAUGAAAACGCAGCUAGCUGCGAGAACUAAUGUGAUUUGCAGGACAAAAAUUAAACCAGUUUUUUUUCUGCAGAGUUUUAAAUUACUUAUUUAUUACACAUCACAGUAGAAGAUGCU